UACGUAGUGUGCGAGCGUUGUCCGGAUUUACUGGGCGUAAAGGGAGCGUAGGCGGACUUUUAAGUGAGAUGUGAAAUACCCGGGCUCAACUUGGGUGCUGCAUUUCAAACUGGAAGUCUAGAGUGCAGGAGAGGAGAAUGGAAUUCCUAGUGUAGCGGUGAAAUGCGUAGAGAUUAGGAAGAACACCAGUGGCGAAGGCGAUUCUCUGGACUGUAACUGACGCUGAGGCUCGAAAGCGUGGGGAGGCAAACAGGAUUAGA
rnacentral:rRNA from 1 species